rnacentral:rRNA from 1 species
CCUACGGGCGGCAGCAGUGGGGAAUAUUGCACAAUGGGCGAAACCCUGAUGCAGCGACGCCGCGUGAGUGAAGAAGGAAGACGGUAGGGAAAGCUCUAUCAGCAGGGAAGAAAAUGACGGUACCUGAGUAAGAAGCCCCGGCUAACUACGUGCCAGCAGCCGCGGUAAUACGUAGGGGGCAAGCGUUAUCCGGAUUUACGGGGUGUAAAGGGAGCGUAGACGGCAGUGCAAGUCCGGAGUGAAAGGCGGGGGGUCAACCCCCGGACUGCGCUGGAAACUGUACGGCUGGAGUGCAGGAGAGGUAAGUGGAAUGCCUAGUGUAGCGGUGAAAUGCGUAGAUAUUAGGAGGAACACCAGUGGCGAAGGCGGCUUACUGGACUGUAACUGACGUUGAGGCACGAAAGCGUGGGGAGCAAACAGGAUUAGAUACCCUUGUAGUC